rnacentral:lncRNA from 1 species
GGAUGUGUAGAAACAGCCUCACUGUGUUUUCAUGAAGUUUGAGGCCCAGGAAUUCAUGGUGAGGUGGGAGCCCCCCAUCGCACUUGCUGCACAGUUAAUACUUUUCCAGGUGGUGAACAGAACUGUCUAGAAACAAGGAAGGGAAGGAAAUGGGAGCAAAGACAAAGGGAGAGAGGGGAGAGAAGAGAGGGGGUGGAGGCCACUGAGGUGCAAAUGUCAAUGCAGCAAUUUGGGGCUGAGGUAGGUGAACAAGAAGUACAACUCCAAAGUUGGUCUGUGUUGAACAGAUGUCUGGUCAUUAAGAUAUCUUUCUUAGCUGGAAAUUGUAGCAACAGCUUUCACAAAUGGGCCACCCAAUUGCGUUUAUGAGAAUUUUCCUCUUCACUGGGGCCAGCCUCUGAGAGUCAACACAGUGUCAGAUUGGAACAUAUUUGCUUGCAUUUUAAGGUUAUAAAUGAGAAAGACCAUUUGUCUCCUUCCAAGGGUAGAUUUCAAUUGGAUACAGCCUCACAGUUUUAAGCUUCCAAAGUGCGAUUUUCCUUCUUCUUUCAAGCUGUCUGUCUUGUUACUAUGGGACCCAACACAAAGGGACUUCAGUCAGGAAGCAAGAACUCCUGCUUCAUCCUGGGGAAAGAAGCAACCUAGGAUCAAGGAGCACAGCUCAGCCAGGAUGUGGCUGUGUUUAUGCUGGAACCCUAAGGCGGUACUCCUCCCCCAGCUUCCGGUUAUAGUGGGAACAGCCACAACUGUGAACUUCCGGUCCUGUUCAGGCUGACCACAUAAGCCAGUUCUCUCUCCUGGUUUCCUCGCUGGGUGAGGAGAGUGGAAUCCUUUCUCAGGGACCUGCAGAGAGAGAGAGGCCAGAGUGUACUUACCAUGUCCGGGAGGUCUUCAAGGACUUCAGUUCUGAGUGUGACCUACUUCUGCUGCCAAUAUUCUGGUCAUUUGCGUCCCUGCCAGCAAUGUUCAGAAGCAUACAGUGAACCAGAGAAAUCAGGAAUGUUUGGAGGAGCUGAUGUCUUCCAGGGUUAGCCUGAAGCAUCGACGACAGGACCUCUAGUGACAACAUCACACAGACUGAGUCAGACACUCUUCCCAGGUCUGUUUCAGUUCUGAUUAAUCAAAGAGCAAGCCCUGUUUCCUUUGUCUUUGACAGUGAGCACAGCCCUCUGGACCACAGGCUACAGAGGGCAAGAUGCUCUGGCUAGAAUUUCAUAGUGCUGUUUUGUUUUCUUUGGUGGCCAGUGGGUGAUACUGCAUUUUCAGUAAGAGUAAUAUGGUCAAACUUCCUUCAUUAAUAAAUAAAUGUGUACAAAAAGUGACUCACUUUGGAGAAAGAUCUUGAAUUAUCAAUUGUUCUGUGCACACCUAUCAUCCUAG